ACUGAGGCCCUGAGAGGGAAAGUCACUUGCCUAAAGGCACACAGCUAAAGAAGUAGCCAAGCGACUUUCCUGGUGGUCCAGCAGCUAAGGCUCUGUGCUCCCAAUGCAGGGGGCCCGGGGUUUGAUCCCUGGUCAGGCAACUAGAUCCCACGUGCCGCAACUAAAGUUCCCGCAUGCUGCAACUAAAGAUCCCGCACGCGGCAAUGAAGAUCCCGCAUGCUGCAACUAAGACCCGGCACAGCCAAAUAAGCAAAUACUAAAAAAAAAAAAGAAGAAGUAGUCAAGGCUGGAAUAUGAACUCAGGUCUGACUCUAAGGCCUGUGUUCUUUGCCCUGUGUGACUCCCAUCUCUCAUCCCCACCUGACCCUUAUCUACUUCUGCAGCAUCCCCCAUACCACAACCUCCACCCUUCCCCACACAGGACCCAGGGAAAGGAGAGCAAGCACGAAUCUUUGGAUGAAUUGCAAGACGACAGCCUUGUGUUACUUAUUGCUGAGCAGACCACUGGGAUAUUUUAAAGCUAGUGUUACUAAACUUUUUUCUCCCUAACCAAGAUGAAGAGUUUCUCAGCCUCAGCACUAUUGAUAUUUUGGGCAGGAUAAUUCUUUGUCGUCAGGGGCUGUCCUGUGCAUUGUAGGAUGUUUAGCAGCAUCCGUGGCCUCUACUCAUCAUAUGUCAGUAGUACCAUGCCUCACCCCCAGCCCCGCCCCCAGGUUGUGACAACCAAAAGUGUGUCCAGUCAUUGCCAAAUGUUCACUGUGGGGACAAAAUCCACUCCAGUUGAGAACCACUGAGUUAGACAAAAGAUAAAACAGCAGCUGUUUCAAAAAAGCAGGUCUUAUAAAUAAAAUGUACCAGGGAGGAAUAAGUCCCCUCUUCUGAAGUAGCUUGGGGGAGAUAAAUGACUGAGCCCUAGGCUUCUGCUUCUGAUGCAAGAGGGGGCUGCAGAGGAAGCUUCUAAGGCCUGAAUCCCAGUCAGGAGCCGGGCCUGUGGUGUGGUGAUCCUCUGAGGCCUGACUUCCCUGGGCAUAACUGGCUUUACCGGUACCCAGCUCUAUCAAAUCAGAGUCCAGGAGGGGUCAGUGAUGUUAUAUUUACUGCCAUCCCCAAAGGGGAUGCCCCAACUGCAAAAGGAACUUGCUCAGAGCCAAGGUGGGAAAAGACAUGCAACUCCUCUCCGAUUUUACAGAUGAGUCAACUGAAAAAGAUGCUUACUUUUUUUUUCUCUAAGUGGAUUGUAAAAUGCAUAAACCAAAGGAUGCAUUUUAGAUGUUUGAUAGAAUGAUUGUUGAACUAGAAAUUAAGUAUAAUAAAAAAUACAUUAUACAGUUAAAAAAAAAAAAAAAAAGAGCAGCAACUGGUGGUUGGUGCCACAUCCUGCUUGUCCACAGCCCUAUUCUAGGAGUCUCUUUUCCUUCUGUGUCUGGAACUGGUUCCUUCUCUAAGUAUCUGUCUCGGUCUCUUGAUCUGCCCACAUGAGUGGAUUGAGGAGAACCACAGUGAAGCUCUUCGUGUGGAUGGGGGGGUGGGGAUGGGGCUAUUAUCGAGAACAGCCCUUCCAAGUGCCCUUGAGGGAGCACAAUAUUCCCUUAGAUGAACCUUUCAUACCUCCUCACCUUCCCACUUUUCCUGUGAUACCCCUCCAUCUUUCAGGAAUCAGCUGAAUGCCUCCUCUUUGGGAAGUCCUCCCUGCCCCCCCGAGGCUGUUGGUCACUGGAAACCCUGAGAGCAGGGAUCAUACUAUGUCCCAUUUGUAUAUUUUGUAUCCCUUCCUUCCUCCUAAAUGGGGUAGGAAUUCA